UUAAGCACCCAAACCCCUGUGACAUACCACUUGUUGCCUCGGCGGAUCAGCCCGCUCCCGGUAAAACGGGACGGCCCGCCAGAGGACCCCUAAACUCUGUUUCUAUAUGUAACUUCUGAGUAAAACCAUAAAUAAAUCAAAACUUUCAACAACGGAUCUCUUGGUUCUGGCAUCGAUGAAGAACGCAGCAAAAUGCGAUAAGUAAUGUGAAUUGCAGAAUUCAGUGAAUCAUCGAAUCUUUGAACGCACAUUGCGCCCGCCAGUAUUCUGGCGGGCAUGCCUGUUCGAGCGUCAUUUCAACCCUCAAGCACAGCUUGGUGUUGGGACUCGCGUUAAUUCGCGUUCCCCAAAUUGAUUGGCGGUCACGUCGAGCUUCCAUAGCGUAGUAGUAAAACCCUCGUUACUGGUAAUCGUCGCGGCCACGCCGUUAAACCCCAACUUCUGAAUGUUGACCUCGGAUCAGGUAGGAAUACCCGCUGAACUUAAGCA
rnacentral:rRNA from 1 species